UACGUAGGGUGCGAGCGUUGUCCGGAAUUACUGGGCGUGAAGAGCUCGUAGGUGGUUUGUCGCGUCGUCUGUGAAAUUCCGGGGCUUAACCUCGGGCGUGCAGGCGAUACGGGCAAUACUUGAGUGCUGUAGGGGAGACUGGAAUUCCUGGUGUAGCGGUGGAAUGCGCAGAUAUCAGGAGGAACACCGAUGGCGAAGGCAGGUCUCUGGGCAGUAACUGACGCUGAGGAGCGAAAGCAUGGGUAGCGAACAGGAUUA
rnacentral:rRNA from 1 species